rnacentral:rRNA from 1 species
UACGUAGGGACCAAGCGUUGUUCGGAUUUACUGGGCGUAAAGGGCGCGUAGGCGGCUUGGUAAGUCACUUGUGAAAUCUCUGAGCUCAACUCAGAACGGCCAAGUGAUACUGCUGUGCUAGAGUGCAGAAGGGGCAAUCGGAAUUCUUGGUGUAGCGGUGAAAUGCGUAGAUAUCAAGAGGAACACCUGAGGUGAAGACGGGUUGCUGGGCUGACACUGACGCUGAGGCGCGAAAGCCAGGGGAGCAAACGGG